UAGGGUAAGCAGUGCAGUAUUUAGGUUUAGUGUUAGGGUAAGCAGUGCAGUUGUUCGGAUUAGGUUUAGGGUUAAGUGCAAAGUGUGCUCCAGUGUCCGGGUUGCCUGUAACACACUACUAUAGAAGUUCACUUACACUCUGCACUGUAACACACUGCUGUUGAAGCUCAGUUACACUCUGCACUGUAACACACUGCUGUUGAAGCUCAACACUUCUGGCCAAGCCAAAAAUUCAUCUGGUUGUUUCUGAAAAAUAUGUUCUCUUUUCUCUAACUGACAAGGAGCCGUGCGUUCAUUCCUCAGGCUGAGUCUGGCCAGAGAGCAUAGGCGAGACUAUGUUCCUGUGAUGCUGUUUAAGGUAUAUUAUACGAAAUGAGUUCUGUACAGUAAGCUGAUUCCACACCAGACUGUCUGACUAAAGGGCCAGAAAAUUGCAUGAUCAUAUAUUCCUCAGCCACAUUCAGCCUUAGGCGGUAACAUAUCACCAAGCGUCGGUUCUUGGUAUCAACCUAAAGAACAAACAUGUAGCAAGAAAAAUCAAAUGGUAGCGGCGGCCGUGCGCCAAGUACGGAUUUCCUGGCUGACGCAGCUGUUUCAGAGUCUACCGCAGCUGCAGGGAAGAGCUGUCAUUUAACAGCAGAAGAGACUGCUUGUGUCAUUGGACAUUACUGUCAAAACAGUUGACUGAACUGCGGGCAGUCAGGGAAGAUGCACAGCAGACAAAACUAAGUAGAGUCCGUUUGCUUUUUUUGCUAAUCUGGGAACAAAGAUGUUAUGGAGGCACUUUGUAGGUAGUCUUUGCUUUAAUGACCCUCAUUUGUUUUCUGCGAGAGGGUCUCUGUCUGUGUGUGUGUAAGUCCAGGCUUGUGUCUGUUACUCCCCAUCCUGUAAACAGGGCAGAGACGGUGUUGGGCUGAGCCCAGGAGUGUCGGUGCUAUUACGCUCCUCCCUGCCCAUCUCUCUACAUGAGCCCUCCAGAUUCAGUGUUCAGCUUCAGUACCACAGGCUGUGUGCGGCACCUUGCCAGUGUCGCUUACUUAUUUCAGUGCGCCUCUUCCUCUGAAAGAUUAUUGAGAAGGUGGUCUCUCUUCAACUUGAAGAAUAUUUAAAUAGUAAUGAAGUCAGCUGUAUGAUCACAAGACAUGCACCCCAUGCAAGUUGUGCCUACUACCCGAAUAAAGAACACAGUUACUGCAUUCUGCUGCCGUGGUCCCAAACUCUGGAAUUCUCUCCCACAAAUGACCUGAGGCACUAUGACAACAUAAAUCCUUUUUAUGCCUCCCUGGGUGAUGGAUCUCGGGGAUGUAAUGAGCUCUAUUAUCCUUCUAUGUGUUCUCUAUUUUCUGGAAAGCACUUUGUAAACUUUGUUUAAGAAAGUGCGAUACAAAUAAAAUGUAUUGUUACAUGCAGGGCCAUGUUAAACCUCCGGGCCUCUCUGUCUGACUCCAACCUGCCUCAGAGGUGGACACCUAUGGACGUCUCGCUGGAAAGAGACCUCUAUAAAAAGCGUCUCCUUGUCUGUGCACCACCAAAAAUUGCUUUGCAUAUAAAUACUGUGUGCCAAAAGAAAAGGGAUAGAAUGUGAGAAAUGAAUGAGACAGAAAGGAGGCGAGAGGACCCUGCCUGCGUCUCUCUGAGCGACGCCUCCCUGCCUGCGUCUCUUUCUGCAGCGUCUCCCUGCCUGCGUCCUUCUGACCGACGUCUGCCCUGCCUGCGUCUCUCUGAGAGGCGUCUCCAUACUUGUGUAAACAUCUUCCUAGCUUCACAUCACCGCUUUCCGUCCAGUAUACAACAGCAUGGGCACUGUCCUCUACUGGCUGCUCAGGUAUUUUUCAGAAAACUGCUUAAAGCAUAACCUGGUCCACUUUGAUGGUAAAGAUCUGCAGGCAGAGGAGAUGAAUGCAGUAAUCCAGAUUACCACCUCAUCUAGGGGCAGUGGUAGCUCAGUGGUUAAUCAGAAGGUGGCCAGUUUAUGUCCCACUGCUGCACAGUUACCACUGUAACUGAACAAGCCCUUACCUCAAUUGUUCAAGUUGUGUUCAGUCAGAAUUAAAAAG